UUUGUACAGAGCAAACAUGCGUAGUACGAUACCAACAAGACGAUUUGGCAAAGAUUAGAGGCCACAGGUUGAAAUGACAUAAAGAAUAAUGACGUGUCCUUUAGACAAGGAAGUGUAGCAAUGAGAUUGGGACCAACCCUAUACGAAGUGCUGAUAUGGACACACGACUUUAAUGAUCCAAAAAAUGCAAUCAUUGCCAUGCAAGUGCAAAGAAAUAAAUAUUAAAAGGACACGCGUGUUCCAACUUUACUAAAAAAACCCUUUUUAUACGACACAUAGCUCUUUGUUUCACUUACGCAAGCGAAUCAUGACAUCACGUCAAAAAGCACGCAAGCAAAUAUGGUGUUGUGGACGCAGGUCGUUGAUGUAAUCCUAUAAAAAUCACGUGACAAAUAAGGUGAAAAACUCGCUUGCGUCAGCGUCAGCGAUGAAUGCCGGUAGAAUAAGAUCAAUACUUAGAGACUAAUUUAGAGAUGAACUACCACAAAAUAACCUAUAUUUAAAUUUCAAAUUAAAAGCGCAAUCAUGAUAUCGCACAAACACACCGAAUUCAAUAGCCACUCAAUUAUUCUGACCAUAAAAAAGGUGAAACGUUGGAUAAUGACAUCAAUUAUUCCAAACACAGGCAAUAUCUUUAGAAAAAGCUUUUUCAUCAAUGUAGAGAAUUCAGGAUGGGAAGAGAAUAGGGACAAAUAGUUGAAAUAACCAAAACCUGUUAACCUUAAAAUAUAAUCGAUUAUUUUAUAAAACUUAUAACUACAUCAAAAACGAACGAUUUUCAGAUGUUGUCCAUACAUUGACAAAAAACCUUGAACAUUAAAGGGAACCCAUGGAAGAGUCAUUUCAAGUUCCAAUUUUGCUGAAGUUGUUCAUUAAAAUAUCAUUACCCAGGUUUCAAGCUUCUUAACAAAACAAUAGAGAAAUGAAGCAUGACCAUGGACGAAGCCAACAUGUCUGUCAGACAAGUGUUGAGCACGGUUGGAUAAAUUUUCAAUAAGUUUGUUGACGACCUGUUCUGGCCAAAAAUUUUUUUACUAAUUUGAGUUACGUCAAACACCAAGGGAUAAGGUGCCUUAACUUUAUGACUUAUUUCCUCUAAAGCCUAAAAAAUGAUAGAAUUUACAGAAAUUACCAACAUGACCAAUAUCACUAAUUCAAUCGUGCCAAUUAUGACACACAAAAGAUAUUGGACUUUAUGAAGUCAAAAACUUUCAAGAUGUUUCCAUGCGAUGUUUUAAAAUUGAGGAAGAAUAUGAUAAAAACUAAAAUGAAACAAAUGCAAAAAAAACACUUAUAAAAAUACAUUUGAAGACAUACAAUCCAAUCAUCCCAGUGACGAAUACAAAGGAUAAGUAUAAAAAACUCUAUUAUCUACUGAUUGUUUUGUUUGGUAUAUUAACGGAAAAUGUAAUUAUUUCAUAAUUCAUAUAACUAACAUUGUUAUGAAUUCGACUUUAAAACGCUAUGAUUCCUGCUAUGAUUUAUUUCCACUAACGGUGAAUCAUGCUCUUGUGUGAUGUCAUGCAUUUACUCCUGCUUAGUCGACGCUCAAUAUCACAUUGUAAAAGUUAUUUUUGUAUUUUUUGAAUGAAUAAUGCACGUGUUAAACCAAUUUCUAGUUGUUUUUAAAAUAGUUUAUUAUUGCUUCGUUUGCAUUUUUAUUUGUGUAAUUUGGUUUGGAAUAAAUCAACAAACUCUGUAAA